CAGCAAUAGUAGCAUUAUCCCAACCCUGCAAAAAGUUUCCAAUUGUCGCGGCAAGCGCAACUAACACAGCACCAUUCAUCUUUUCCAGUACUAGUAGCACACAAGUCAAUCAAAUUUUGAACUAUACCUGCAAAUUAAGAACACUUAUAACUCAAUCCACCAAAACCACAGAUCUAAACUUCACACUACAAAAUUGCCAUUAGUAAAAAACAUACAAUUCUUGACAAAAACUAAAAUCAUAUACAUGGUAAAGUUGUCAUUAACACUAACAAGUCUAAAAACAGUAAAUUGAGGAAUCCCAAGUAGAAAAGAUUGUACCUUUAGAUGGCUGAAUUCGAUUAGAGAGAGUAAAAGCCAAAAGUGGUCGAGCCAGCUACUAUAUACUCAAAAUUCAAGAAGUACAGAAAGGGUAUAUUCUAACAGUUUGGAAUUGGAGUUAAUCAGCAGAAAAAAAGAUUUCCCAUCUCAGAAAACAGGACAAACAAGUUUGGUUCUAUGAAUCUUUAUGGCUGGACAAAGAGGGUGAUCAAAACAACAUAAACAAAACCAACCGCCUUUCAACAUAAACCUAAGACAUCAUUAAAAAGGUUUUGUCUUUGUAAACCCCAGAAGCUUAAACUGAAAAAUAUCUUCAAGAAAGUUUUGAUCUUUUUUUUUUUUUUAUC
rnacentral:lncRNA from 1 species